rnacentral:rRNA from 1 species
GAUAUCCGCCAGAGAACUACAAGCCAAAUGCUUAAAACUCAAAGGACUUGACGGUGCCUCAAACCCACCUAGAGGAGCCUGUUCUAUAAGCGAUAAUCCACGAUAAACCUUACCAUCUUUUGCCCCCCAGCCUAUAUACCGCCGUCUCCAGCCUACCUUGUGAGAGGAAAGAAGUAAGCACAAUAGUCCAUACAACUAGAACGUCAGGUCCAGCGUAGCCAAUGAGAUGGAAGAAAUGGGCUACAUUUUCUAAUAUAGAAAUAGUCACGGAGAGAGCCCUGAAAAAAGGCCUCAAAAGCAGAAUUUAGCAGUAAUUUUGGAAUAGUGAGCCAAAAUUA